GAUGAAGAACGCAGCGAAAUGCGAUAUGUAAUGUGAAUUGCAGAAUUCAGUGAAUCAUCGAAUCUUUGAACGCACAUUGCGCCCCCCAGUAUUCUGGCGGGCAUGCCUGUUCGAGCGUCAUUUCAACCAUCAAGCCCUGCUUGUGUUGGGGUCCUGCGGCUGCCCGCAGGCCCUGAAAACCAGUGGCGGGCUCGCUAGUCACACCGAGCGCAGUAGCACAUCUCGCUCAGGGCGUGCGGCGGGCUCCAGCCGUUAAAGCACCCACCUUUCGCAAGGUUGACCUCGGAUCAGGUAGGAAUACCCGCUGAACUUAAGCAUAUCAAUAAGCGGAGGA
rnacentral:misc_RNA from 1 species